rnacentral:tRNA from 1 species
UGGGUAUAGCUCAGUGGCAGGGCACUUGCUUAGCAUGCAUGAAGCCCUGGGUUUGAUUCCCUAGUACCACAA